GCUGAUUUAAGGUCAAAUAAGCAGUGAUUUUAAAGGUGCACUGUGUAGGGUUUAGAGACAUCUAGUGGUGAGAUUGCAGCCAUCUGAAUACCCCUCCUUUUUCAAGUGUUUGUAUGAUAAC